rnacentral:rRNA from 1 species
CCAAUCGAACUCGGAGAUAGCUGGUUCUCCCCGAAAUAGCUUUAGGGCUAGCCUCGUUUUAAAUUACCGGGGGUAGAGCACUGAAUGGGCUAGGGGGCCACAAAGCUUACCGAACCCUAUCAAACUUCGAAUACCGGAUAAUUGAUGAACGGGAGUCAGACGGCGGGAGAUAAGUUUCGUCGUCAAAAGGGAAACAGCCCAGAUCUACGACUAAGGUCCCGAAAUCACAGUUAAGUGGAAAAGGAUGUGCAGUUGCACAGACAACCAGGAUGUUGGCUUAGAAGCAGCCACUCAUUUAAAGAGUGCGUAAUAGCUCACUGGUCGAGUGAUUGUGCGCCGAAAAUGUACCGGGGCUAAACUGUGUACCGAAGUCUAGGGAUCGUGAUAAACGAUCGGUAGGGGAGCAACGUGUGCGGGCUGAAGCCGAAGCGAAAGCGACGGUGGACUGCACGGGAGAGAGAAUGCCGGCAUGAGUAGCGAGAGCAAAGUGAGAAUCUUUGCCGUCGAAAGCCUAAGGUUUCCUGAGGAAGGCUCGUCCUCUCAGGGUAAGUCAGGACCUAAGCCGAGGACAAAAGUCGUAGGCGAUGGACAACUGGUUGAUAUUCCAGUACCACCUUUAGCGUUUGACUGAAGCAGUGACACAGAAGGAUAGACAGAGCGCGUGACUGGUAGAGCGCGUCCAAGCGAUGAGGGAGUUAAGUAGUGAAGCACGCUUAACAAUCCUGGGUCGUGAUGGGGACUGAAAAUAAGUAGGGAAGCUGUUGAAUUCACGCUGGCGAGAAAAGCUGCUAAGGAGCGAAAGGGUGCCUGUACCGCAAACCGACACAGGUAGGCGAGGAGAGAAUCCUAAGACGAGCGGGAGAACCCAUGUUAAGGAACUCGGCAAAAUGACCCUGUAACUUCGGGAUAAAGGGAGCCACGAGAGUGGCCGCAGAGAAUAGGCCCAAGCGACUGUUUACCAAAAACACAGGUCUGUGCGAAGUAGAGAUACGACGUAUACGGGCUGACGCCUGCCCAGUGCCGGAAGGUUAAGGGGAAGUGUUAGGGCAACCGAAGCACGGAACUUAAGCCCCGGUGAACGGCGGCCGUAACUAUAACGGUCCUAAGGUAGCGAAAUUCCUUGUCGGGUAAGUUCCGACCCGCACGAAUGGUGUAACGAUUUGGGUACUGUCUCAACAAGGGACCCGGCGAAAUUGUAGUAUGUGUGAAGAUGCACAUUACCCGCGAUAGGACGGAAAGACCCCGUAGAGCUUUACUGUAGUUUAACAUUGGAUUUCGGUAACAUAUGUACAGGAUAGGUGGGAGGCGAAGAACCAGGGACGCCAGUUUCUGGGGAGCCGACCUUGGGAUACCACUCUUGUGUUAUUGGAGUUCUAACGAAUUGCCGUGAACCGGGAUUCGGACAGUGUUAGAUGGGCAGUUUGACUGGGGCGGUCGCCUCCUAAAGAGUAACGGAGGCGUCCAAAGGUUCCCUCAGAAUGGUUGGAAACCAUUCGCAGAGUGUAAAGGCAGAAGGGAGCUUGACUGCGAGACCGACAGGUCGAGCAGGUGCGAAAGCAGGGCUUAGUGAUCCGGCGGUAUGAGAGUGGAAUUGCCGUCGCUCAACGGAUAAAAGCUACCUCGGGGAUAACAGGCUUAUCUCCCCCAAGAGUCCACAUCGACGGGGAGGUUUGGCACCUCGAUGUCGGCUCGUCGCAUCCUGGGGCUGGAUUAGGUCCCAAGGGUUUGGCUGUUCGCCAAUUAAAGCGGCACGCGAGCUGGGUUCAGAACGUCGUGAGACAGUUCGGUCCCUAUCCAUCGUGGGCGCAGGAGAUUUGAGAGGAGCUGUCCCUAGUACGAGAGGACCAGGAUGGACGCACCAAGGGUGAAUCAGUUGUUCUGCCAAGAGCAUAGCUGGGUAGCCAAGUGCGGAUCGGAUAAACGCUGAAGGCAUCUAAGCGUGAAGCCGACCUCAAGAUAAGAUCUCCCACCAGAAAUGGGUAAGACCCCUGGAAGACUACCAGGUUGAUAGGUCGGAGGUGGAAGUGCAGCAAUGCAUGUAGCUGACCGAUACUAAUAGGUCGAGGGCUUGAUCAA